GACUGAAGCCAUGCUGGGAAGGGGUGGUUCAUGCUCCUGCAGCAGGGAAGUAAAGCAGGCUCCCUGAGGAGUUGAAGGUCUUCUGAGGAGGGAGGGUUACAUAGAACCUGCAGAGCACAGAGGAACCAACAGUGCUCCCUAACCCUGGAGAAAGCCCGAGCCCUGCACAGCCAUGGGGGGACCAUGGGAAGCAUCAGACCUGCAGAAGUGAAGAAACUCUGCCCAGGUCCCAGAGCUGAAUUUUGUGCUGUGACUCCUUGCCAGGCCUGUCUGAGAUGAGCCCACCAUGUCUGUGUGUCAUAGCAGUGAACCAAGAGCUUGCUCUGUAAAUUUUUCCUGCCAUCACUUGUGUUUGUGCACCAGAGAUCAGAGCAUCCCCACGGUACAGAGAGAUGCUCACAGCUAAAUAAACAGGCAGGUGCACAGA